ACGGCCAUAUGACGUUGAAACAUCGGUUCUCGUACGAUCACCGAAGUUAAGCAACGUCGACUCUGGUCUGUACCUGUAUGAGUGACCGCUUGGGAAUGCGAGGUGUUGUAA